GGGGGCGAAAAUGGUUUCGACGGGGAUUUUGAGCUUUAAGUAGCGAGUCGUUGAUGGAUCAUACAACGUAAAAAUGGUCUAUAAAAAAUAAACGACGAAAAUAAUUUCGCACUAGCUGCCUAAGUUUAGGUAGCAAUCCGGCCAGAUGCCGCGAACUGUAACCGGGUUUCAAAUUAGCGGGCAAACGAACUCUGUGAUUCGCCAUAGCAGAGGGGGUUAAUGGCGAUACUCUGUAUGAGUUUGACACUCUAGUAAUGCAGAGGAAAAUUAAAGAGGAGUCUGCACUCGGAGAAUCUUUCUGUAAGAGGUCUUCGGACGCGGGUUCGACUCCCGCCGCCUCCACCA
rnacentral:tmRNA from 1 species